rnacentral:rRNA from 1 species
GACGAACGCUGGCGGCGUGCUUAACACAUGCAAGUCGAACGGAAAGGCCCCUUUGGGGGUACUCGAGUGGCGAACGGGUGAGUAACACGUGAGUAACUUGCCCUUGACUUCGGGAUAACUUCAGGAAACUGGGGCUAAUACCGGCUAGGAAUGCUUGCUGCAUGGUGGGGGUUGGAAAGCUUCGGUGGUUUUGGAUGGACUCGCGGCUUAUCAGUUUGGUUGUGGGGUAGUGGCUUACCAAGGCUUUGACGGGCAGCCGGCCUGAGAGGGCGACCGGCCACAUUGGGACUGGGAUACGGCCCAGACUCCUACGGGGGGCAACAGGGGGGAAUAUUGCACAAUGGGCGGAAGCCUGGUGCAGCAACGCCGCGUGCGGGAUGACGGCCUUCGGGUUGUAAACCGCUUUCAGCAGGGGCGAAGCUUGGGGUGACGGUACCUGCAGAAGAAGCACCGGCUAACUACGUG